GUGUCAGCAGCCGCGGUAAUACGUAGGUUGCGAGCGUUGUCCGGAUUUACUGGGCGUAAAGCGCGCGCAGGCGGUCCUGAAAGUCGAAUGUGAAAGCUCCUGGCCCAACUGGGGGAGGCCGUUCGAAACUUCGGGACUUGAAGGCGGGAGAGGCAGAUGGAAUUUCCGGUGUAGCGGUAAAAUGCGUAGAUACCGGAAGGAACACCAGUGGCGAAAGCGAUCUGCUGGCCCGCCCUUGACGCUCAGGCGCGAAAGCUAGGGGAGCGACCGGGAUUAGAAACCCCAGUAGUCC
rnacentral:rRNA from 1 species